rnacentral:tRNA from 1 species
GGACCCGUAGCCUAGUCUGGAUACGAUUUUAACUUUGCCAGAAAGGGCACAAGCCUCCUAAGCUUGAGGUCGUGGGUUCGAAUCCCACCGGGUCCG